rnacentral:tRNA from 1 species
AGUUGUGUAGCUGCAUGGUAGAGCUCUUGCCUGGCAUGUCUGAGACCUGGGUUCGAUCCCAGCACUAUUU